rnacentral:lncRNA from 1 species
CUGCCCGUGUCCCUGCCCUGCGCCUGUGCCGUGCGCGCCCACCCAGGCCUCUCACUCUCGCAACUGACCCGACUCCACGCUGCCAGCCUGACCACAACGGGAGAAGGCGGGUGUUGUCUGAAAUCGCUCCUCUUCAAACGUACUCCGUUCUGUCGAAAGAGAGAGCGUCCCAGGCCAGCGCAGGCGGGCGGGGUUUGUUACCCACAGCAGGACGGAGAAGGUCAGCUGGUGACAGGGAGGCUGCUGCUGGCCCCGGUGAGCCUCCCCAGGCCCCUGAGAGGAAGCUCGAGAAACGGGGUGCUGAGAACUGUCAGAAAGGAGAAAACAUAGUGAAAACCUUCAGGACAUUGGAUUUGGCAAUGAAGUCUUGGAUGUUACAUCAAAACCAUUGGCAACAAGAUCAAGAUUAAAUAAACAGGAUGUCAUUACAGACUUCUGCAUAUCAAAGGAAACAAUCAACAGAGGUCUCCUGCUCACCGCGAUCACCCCCCAAGAGCAGGGCUGCCGCACCGCGUCGUAACUGUGCACAGAGCUGCAAGGCAGUGCUGAGGCCCCGCAGCAGGAGCCGUGGGACCAUCGGCAGUCACCGGAGCUGAGCCGGCGCCCUGGUCUGCAGAGAG